AAUAGUUUAUACCUCAAAAUUCAAGUAUUCCAAUUUUCAUUAUUUUUUUACCUUUAGUUUUCGAGAUAUUUCUAAUAGGCCCUUUAUCUGCCUCACCCUAUAUAUAACAAAUUUUGUUCUCGCCUUGCUAAGGCGCGGCGAAUAGUAUAUCGCUUAUACUAUUUGGGCGACUUAAAAACAGUCCUUCCGGUUGUAACUCCGGAACAGGAAGUCCUAGGCCAAAUAUCUCACCUUUAAUAGAAUCUUAGGGUUAUAAGUUCUCAUUAGACACCGCAUUUGUCAUUGUAUUUGUUCUAAUAACGGAUGAGUUGUGUUCAUGGACAGACAGACAUAAAUAAUUCAACGCUUUCACUAUUUCUUUUUAAUGCAAAAUGACUGAAAACAAUAACGAUUGUUGUACAUAUCACUAGGUGUUGUGAAUUGUGUGAUGCAAAAUAUUAAAUGGUUCUUAAUGUUGUUCUGAAGAUAUUUUUAUAGUAUUUUGUAUUUUGACAACGAAACCCGAUUUGGGCUUCGAAACGUUAAUAAAAUCAUUUUUUUGGUAAAAUUGUGGCUUAUUUCCCAUUAAAAGUAAUUGAUUAAAUGGUUCUGUUAAAAGCUAAUUUUUUUAUAAAUAUAGACGUUGUCUUCUAAAAUAUUUCUGCCAAUUCGUUGUUUUAAACGAUUAAAAACUUGCUUACUAGUAUUUUACUUACGUUAACAAAUAUUUCUAAAAUGGCUGGCUAUUAUGAACAUAAUUUAACUUUUCGCCGGUAGUUAUCUAGAAAACAUUUGAACUACCACACAUACAGAUAGUUAUUCAUUAAAUACUUCUCCUCUAUUAUCUACUAGAUAGAUAUUUCAUUACUGAUAGUGUAAAUGUUUCAACCCAAUUUUUAAUCAAAAUUACGUGCAAUAUUUUUGCUAAUUUUAAGUAUACAAACAUGAGAUUUGAAAUAUGUUGGUGUUUUAAUGCAACAAUAAGUUUUUAAAUAGUUUUAAUGUUGUUUCAACUGUUGGUUGACUGGUAAUAUGUAACAAAUAACUCAAAAAGUUUUAAAAUAAUUAAAAUGUGAUUAACGCUAAAUUUGGUUUUUUAUUUUGCUUUUUAUUUAACAUGUUAUCUCUUCUUCUUCCCCUUUAUAAGCAAUUCUUCUUGUUAAUUGGCAGGUUGAUACCUCUAUGGAAGGUUGUCACUCUACCUUUUACGCGAUCAUCCGAUACUUGUACCUAUUGGUGAUUUAUCUCUUAUUAUUUUAAUCACACGGGUCUCCCGCAUUCUGUUUAUGUGGUUAUUUCAUUCUUUUUUUUUUCUGUUUAGUGUUUAUUCAUUACAUUUUCUUCUAAUGUCUUCGCUUCUCUUACGAUCAGCGUAAAAAACACAUGUUUCUUUCGGUUAAAACACAUAUUAAGUUACAAAACCUUCUAUUUUCUUUGUUUCUAAAGAUAUCAGAGAAAUUAAGGAAACAAAAUGUUCACAAAACAUAAGACUACAAUAUGAUUCCGAUGUAUACUGAGAUUUUUACUUCGUCCUCCCUACAGGGUGUCUCAAAUUUAACAUAAGAAAAACAUUUAUUUUCUUCCACCCGGUAUAGGCACAAAAAGAAGUUUGAGUAAACAUUUGCAUAACUGUCUAACUAAAUAAUAAAGAAAAAUCUAAAAUAAUAAAAAAAAUAGCGGAAUCCGUUAAUCUGUUCACGAAACUAAAAAUCAACUAUGAAAAUGAGUAUAAUUUUGUGUAUCAUUAACUUAUGCCUCGCAGAUUUUCAUAAAGAAAUUAAGAUUUUCAUUUUGUCAUCGUUUUGCUGCAAACUGUCGAGUUGUUUUGUUAUUUUUUUACAUAUAAAUAUAACUUAAUGCAUUUAGUUUUGAAAUUAUUUAAUGAUGCUAUUGUUGUAUUGCAAACUCCGUCCCCAACUUAUAUUUGGGUAGUAUUUAUUACUUUGUUAACAUUGUAAAUUAUGUCGAGUGAUAUUAUUUUAGUAUUACUGGUUGUAUAUAUCAUUGGGUUUACUUAUAUUAUUCAAAGACCAAUUUUUGGUACUUCUUACUGUACUUAAUGAGAUGUAAUAUAUCGCGAAUGGGUAUUAUUUUCGAAUGAAAUAUUAAGAAUGAUGGGAUUAGUUGUUAUGUAGAUAAUUAUCUCCUUAUUUCUUUUAAUAAAAAUAAUAUCUAUCU
rnacentral:lncRNA from 1 species